rnacentral:lncRNA from 1 species
CUUUGUCUAGAGAACAGCUCCUGGUUGAAAGAUAGAUAUUUAUAGAUAAACCAAUCAUCUGAAAAUCAUAAAAUUUCUCUACGAAAUAUGGUGAUAGUGAGGUAAUCUUCUUCCCACUGUAGAGUUUGGAAUAUGAGACACAGAGAGCCCUUCACCAGAAAAUACAAAUAAAGGAGAAAGAAAGAGAGAGAGAAAGAAGAAAGGAAAGCAAAGGAAAGGAAAGAGGAAAGGAAAGAAAAAGGAAAAAGAGAAAAGAAAGGAAAACAAAGAAAAACAAUGGAGACAGUGUCAGCUGUACAGCAAGAGCCAAGUGGUCUCUGCGGAGAGAGAAACUGAUCAAAGACCUGCAUGAGGGGCUGGGGAUCUAGCUCAGCGGUUCAGCACAUCGCUGCCACACAAGCGCAAGAAGAUCUGCGUGAGGAGCGUGAGUGAGUCGCGCACAUAUUUCAGCUUGUUCUGGGAAGAAAGAAAUUCAAUUUGAAAGACUCCAGGUAAGCGUUACUUGAUUUUAUUUAAAUACAAAAGACAGAAGAAGCCUCUUUAUCACAUUGAAAAAGAGGCAGCCAUUAGCCA